rnacentral:tRNA from 1 species
GCCCCAAUAGCUCAGUGGUUUAGAGCAUUUGUUUUACACGCAAAAAGUCGGUGGUUCGAUUCCAUCUUGGGGUA